rnacentral:rRNA from 1 species
UACGGAGGAUGCGAGCGUUAUCCGGAUUUAUUGGGUUUAAAGGGUGCGUAGGCGGACUGUCAAGUCAGCGGUAAAAUUGAGAGGCUCAACCUCUUCCCGCCGUUGAAACUGGUGGUCUUGAGUGGAUGAGAAGUACGCGGAAUGCGUGGUGUAGCGGUGAAAUGCAUAGAUAUCACGCAGAACUCCGAUUGCGAAGGCAGCGUACCGGCAUCCAACUGACGCUGAGGCACGAAAGCGUGGGGAUCACACAGG